ensembl:lncRNA
CCUUGGUCAAAAAACAACCCUUUGUGCAAAGCCUUUAAUGCUCUUCCCAGACCCUUCCAUCAUAUUGAUUACACAUAGUGCUUCCCUGCAUACUGCAAAACACUGAAGAUGAGGGCUUGGGUUCUUUCUAUAUUAUACAACUCAUGCUUAUACAGUCUUUUCAGCCCUCCAAGAGGAUAUAGAGAAGUGCUGCAUUGUGGUGGUAAGAGAUCAGGUUGGGUUUAAAAUUGGCCCAUCACUCAAGAGGACUACAUUGGACCAUCUACAAGCCACUCAAGAGGACUACAAUGGAGAGUGGCGAAAACAUGGCGGUGCCUCAGACAGUCCUCUUCCCCGUAGAAAAGGAGAUUUAAAAUAGAAGACAAGUUGUGGAGCAUCACCACAAGUAGAGUACAUUUAGCCCUGAUUGGUCAAUCGCUGCACUUGUAGACUCGAGGUCUAGGAUGUGGUUGGGUUUAGGAGUCUGCAAUAUGAUUGGUUGUUCUGAGAGUAACGUUCAAGCGAUUGGCCCAAGGUGUUGGGUACUAUAUUCUGAUUGGGUCCUGUUGUUGGAUGAUGUGCUCUGAUUCGGUGCAAUGUUUGCUAGCGUGUCCUGAUUGUUGGGUCUGACUAGCAGGAGCAGCUGAGAGACACAAAAUAAAUGGGGGAACAAGGAUGGAAACAGAAAGAGAUGUAUAGAUCAACAGGAGAUUUAAUGGCAGUCCUAGUAUCAGUCUGUGGUGUAGUCUCAGUCCUAGUGAAGGUAUGUCAGUCUGUAGUGUAGUCUCAGUCCUAGUAUCAGUCUGUGGUGUAGUCUCAGUCCUAGUAUCAGUCUGUGGUGUAGUCUCAGUCCUAGUGAAUGUAUGUCAGGAUGUGGUGUAGUCUCAGUCCUAGUGAAUGUAUGUAGGUCUGUGGUGUAGUCUCAGUCCUAGUGAAGGCAUGUCAGUCUGUGGUGUAGUCUCAGUCCUAGUGAAGGUAUGUAAGUCUGUGGUGUAGUCUCAGUCCUAGUGAAGGUAUGUGAGUCUGUGGUAUAGUCUCAGUCCUAGUGAAGGUAUGUAAGUCUGUGGUGUAGUCUCAGUCCUAGUGAAGGUAUGUAAGUCUGUGGUGUAGUCCCAGUCCUAGUGAAGGUAUGUAGGUCUGUGGUAUAGUCUCAGUCCUAGUGAAGGUAUGUAAGUCUGUGGUGUAGUCUCAGUCCUAGUGAAGGUAUGUAAGUCUGUGGUGUAGUCUCAGUCCUAGUGAAGGUAUGUAGGUCUGUGGUAUAGUCUCAGUCCUAGUGAAGGUAUGUAAGUCGGUGGUGUUGCCUCAGCUUUAAAGUGCAGAUCAUACUUGUUUGGUUUGUUGUCGUCUUUUUAUGUCUGGUUCAUCUUUUGGAAUGAUUCCAACUCCCCCCUCCCUAGUCUCUCCCUCCCUCCCUCCCUCC